rnacentral:tRNA from 1 species
GGAGGUCUUAGCUUAAUUAAAGUGUCUGGGUUGCAACCAGGUGAUGUAGUAGUGUGAACUACAGGCCUUCAGAAAUU